rnacentral:rRNA from 1 species
GAUGAACGCUGGCGGCGUGCCUAAUACAUGCAAGUCGAGCGAACGGACGAGAAGCUUGCUUCUCUGAUGUUAGCGGCGGACGGGUGAGUAACACGUGGAUAACCUACCUAUAAGACUGGGAUAACUUCGUGAAACCGUCGCUAAUACCGUAUAAUAUUUUGAACCGCAUGGUUCAAAAGUGAAAGACGGUCUUGCUGUAACUUAUAGAUGGAUCCGCGCUGCAUUAGCUAGUUGGUAAGGUAACGGCUUACCAAGGCAACGAUGCAUAGCAGACCUGAGAGGGUGAUCGGCCACACUAGAACUGAGACACGGUCCAGACUCCUACGGGAGGCAGCAGUAGGGAAUCUUCAGCAAAGGGCGAAAGCCUGACGGAGCAACGCCGCGUGAGUGAUGAAGGUCUUCGGAUCGUAAAACUCUGUUAUUAGGGAAGAACAUAUGUGUAAGUAACUGUGCACAGCUUGACGGUACCUAAUCAGAAAGCCACGGCUAACUACGUG